CGCAAAAUCCGUGUCCAUUCGCGGGGCAUGGGAGGAGAAAUCAUCAGUUAGGAGGAGAAUGAACUCUCCGCCGCCGUCGCCGUCGCCGGCGGUGAUGUCUGGAUGCGCCUCCCUCGCCAGACGCUGGUACUCCUGCUUUAACUCCUUCUCCAGUCUCCACGCGCAUUUUCCCACUCUCAGCACCUCGCAGUGCGUCCUCGCCGCCGCCGCUGUCGCCGCCGCUGCACGACCCGCACACAGAGACUGGUUACUGCAGCGGCGGCCACCGAAGGAAAUCAUCACUGCACCGCAAAUUUGGUACCUGAUUGUUGUCUCACAGGGAUGCACGUCAUUAGCUCAAAUCUUUUUUUUUGGUGGGAAAAACAUUGACCUAAUGUUUUAGCCCAUGAUUUCCACAGUUUGGAUAGGAUGACAUCAUAACAUGCGUACAAAUGGUCAAUGCUACACUGACAUGCCAAAACCAAAGCAUCAGCCUUUUUGUCAUACCAUACUCGUCCUGAUUGUAUGGUGGUUCAACAAUCAACAGACAUGGUGUCUUAGUUCACUUGUCUUACUAUCUUUUUUGUGCUCUUGUUGUUAAUAGUCUUGAUUUUGUUAUCCACUCCUAACCACUCUUUGGGUGUAUCAAUAAGAUUUAGUAGUCACUAGUCAGCUUGGUUUGGUACAAGUCACUCCCUCCAAAGAAAAUAAGAACUACAGAACCAUGGUCCUCCAAUUGUCCCUUAGGUUCACAAACCGAUUAUGCGAGGAAGUACCUUGUGCUUGAGCCUGUGUUGAGUUUCAGGGCCUCAGGAGUUUGCUGAACCCGACAAUUAUUCUGACAAAAUUGGAAUAGAUGAACACACUUAACUAUCAAACUAUGGUGAGCUACUUGUCCUUAUGGUUCCUGUUUCUCAACGACACUUACAUUUCAGCCCCCAUCAGGUGUUAAAAGUAGUUUUCUAUCAUAUCACCUUUCGAUUAUGACCUAAGAAGUGAUAUCAUUUCUCUUCCUAUCCUCCCUUUAUCUAUUGGGCCAUAGAGCUUUCGGCAGCCUCCUUGAUAUCAGCAUCAUUGUGAUUUUUUGGGUAGCUUACCAAUCUAACCAUCACCUAACUUUGUUUGUAUUAUAGAUUUGUAUUUUUCUUUUUUUUAUAGUCUGAAUUACCUAAAGGCUUAUUGAGCUAACGUUGCUGGAAGGAUGCCGGUCUGUCUUCAAGACUGAGACUUGUCAUGUUUCUUCCGGUGAUGUGGAUAGCACAGUCUGAUUAAGCCUGAAGUCAACACAUCAGGUCUGUUUGGUGAUAAAUAGUUGCAAUGUUUGAAGGGGGUUUACCAAUAACCAAAUAUAAGAGACUAUAAAUUGAACUCAUCUUGCUGGGUCUACUUUAUUUGCGUUCAUCUGUGCUGGAGCUGGAGGCAAGAAUACUCCUUCUGUAACUCUUCUACACACGGUGGCACUGUGGAGUUCAGAUCUCGGAGGUUUUCGCUGGAGCCAUUCAGUCAUGUUGUCAGUAGCUACCUUCAAUGUCAACCAAGAGAACUCCAUGGAGUCAGUCAGAGCAAUAAUGGAGCGUCAAACAGCUCGCAGGGCCCCAACCGAUGUGACACAGAUGAUAGAAUCUCUUUUUGCCAGUGUCAAUCUUGCUAAAGACCAUGCUGCAAGGUGCAAAGGCAAAGCGUUGCAACUCACGGAUGGUGAGAUACAAAACAUAACACAAGACCUGGAGAAUGUCUUGCAGAACAUAUAUGAUGAUCUUGGCAGGAUACCAGCAUCAGCAUUUGGCAGUAACGCUUACAUGGAUGUGCUAAUCAAAUCACAAUCAAUGAAGGGUUUCUCUGAGGCUGAUAUAUCCAUGAAUGUAACGAGCAACGGGCCUAGGAGGAGGUCUUUCUGUGAUAAUGGCACUCCGAGGCUCUUGGACUUUCUGCAGGGAAUGUACCAUGAAUCACAUGAAUUUGGUGGCCAGAUGUUCAACACUCUCCCGGAGGUUGCAGAAUACAUCGAGCCACUGUAUGAUGCAUUCUUCUGUCCACUGACAAAUGAGAUAAUGACUGAUCCUGUGACAACCGAGAAUGGUGUGACAUAUGACAGGAGAGCCAUAGAGGAGUAUAUUGAAAGAUCUGCAGACAGUUCUGAACCAGUCUAUUGCCCUGUCACAAAAAUGGCAAUGCAAAGUAAGACAAUGACGCACAAUGCUUCCCUGAAGAGCGUAAUUGAAGAAUGGACAACGAGGAAUGAGGCGAUGCGUGUCAGGAUUGCUCGCACUGCCCUCUCUCUGUCAACUGCGGACACAAUGGUGCUUGAAGCCAUACAUGAGCUGAAGUUGCUGGCCAAGCUGAGGGGGAAGAACAGGGAGCUGAUGCAUAAGAUUGGGGUCACCAAGUACUUGGCACGGUUGUUGGACAACCACAAUGCACAGAUUCGAUGUGAUGCGCUGGAGCUUCUGUGCUUGUUAGUUGGAGAUGAAGAAGGAAAAGACAUCAUUGGAAAAACUAAGGCCAUUGCCAGGACAAUAAAGCUACUGUCAAGUAAUACUACUGAUGAAAAGCAUGUGGCCAUCUCUUUCUUGCUGGAGCUUUCGAAGUCACAGUUACUGUUGGAGGAUAUUGGGUCAACGGCUGGAAGUAUUCUGAUCCUCACGACAAUGAAGAUCAACAAUUCAGAUGAUCCAAUUGCUGCUGAGAAAGCUGGAGCAGUCCUUGAGAACCUGGAGAAGUGUCCGAAGAACAUUAAAUACAUGGCUGAAAGUGGCUACUUAGAACCCCUUCAGAGUCAUCUAGUUGAAGGCUCAGAAGAGAUGCAGAUGGAGAUGGUCAGCUACUUCAGCGAGCUGGUCCAAGAGCAGGAGCUCACCAUUGACAUCACCAGAAGCACGUCGGAGAUCCUCAUCAAGAUGGCGCGCAGCUGUAACCCCAUGGUCCGCAAGGCAGCGUUCGAUGUACUUGUCCAGCUUUCCUCACACCGCCCCAACAGCAAGAUGCUUGUCGAUGCAGGCGCUGUCCCUGUGAUGAUCGAGGAACUCUUCAUCCGAAAGGUAGACGAUGAGCUGGUGAACUCCAUGGCCAACGCUGCCACCGUCCUUGCCAACAUUGUCGAGUCAGGCAUUGAUCUGGAGACCACGGUGGUGAACAAGGAAGGCCACGUCCUCACUUCCAAGUACUCCAUCUAUAACUUCGUUCACAUGCUCAAGUGCUUCGUGCCGGACGACCUCAACCUCAGCAUCAUCCGCGUCCUGCUUGAGCUGACUGCGCUCGCCAAGCCACUGGCGACUGUGGUCUCGGUCAUUAGGGAGAACCACCGUGGCCAUGCCAUCGUCGAGCUCAUGAGCUCCCCAACGGAGGCGCUCAGCGUCGCCGCGACAAGGCUGCUCAUCACCCUGUCCCCGCACAUUGGCCACACCAUCGCAGAGAGGCUCUGCAAGACGCAGGGGCAGCCGGGCUGGCUGGUCAAAAGCAUCAGCCACGCCGGGCGCAUCACCGAACAGCAAGCCGCGUCGGCGACUCUCCUCGCGAGGCUUCCUUACCGAAACACCUCGCUCAACAUCGCGCUUGUGCAGGAGGGCGCGGUGCCGGUCAUACUGAGCGCGAUAAAGGAGAUGCAGAACGGCGCCGCGAGAACGAGCAGGCACGCAGUGCCAUACAUGGAGGGACUCGUCGGCUCGCUCGUGCGGCUCACCGCGACUCUGUACAGCCCGGAAGUGCUGAAGGCGGCCAUGGACCACAACGUGGCGUCUGUGCUCACUGAGCUGCUCCGCGGAGCAGCUGGAAGCGACGAAGUGCAACGGCUCGCGGCGGUGGGGCUCGAGAACCUCAGCUACCUCUCCAUUAAACUGUCCCAGCCACCGCCCGAUGAGCUGCUGUCGAAGAAGACAACCAUACUAAAGCUCCUGAAGGGCUCAAAGGUGCACAACAACAACAAGAAAAACUCGCAUCACCAGCUCAGCGUUUGCUCGGUGCACCGGGGAGUCUGCUCCCCGGAGACGACCUUCUGCCUCCUUGAGGCCGGCGCCGUUGAAGGCCUCCUGAUCUGCCUCGACAACGACAACGUCCGGGUCGUUGAGGCCGCGCUUGGGGCGCUGUGCACGCUCCUCGACGAGAGGGUGGACGUUGAGAAGAGCGUGGCGGCCCUCGACAAGCUCGACGCGACGAGGCGCGUGCUCGGCGCGCUGAGGCAGCACAGGCAGAACGUGCUGUGGCAAAAGUGCUUCUGCAUGGUGGAGAAGCUCCUGGAGCACGGCGACGACCGGUGCGUGAGGGAGGUGACCGGCGACCGGAUGCUACCCAUGGCGUUGGUGAGCGCAUUCCACAGGGGGGACGCGAGCACCAAGCAGGCGGCCGAGAGCAUCCUCAGGAGGCUGCACAAGAUGCCCGAUUACUCUGCUACCUAUGUGUCCAUGGAGUUCUAGUGAUUUAUCUCUGUUGAGGACUAAACACUGUCAAAUCUGUGCAUAUAUAAAUGUGUAUGGGAAAUUGGAGACGAUCAGAACUCUGUGCCUCCACACGCUGACACGCCCCGUCUCGAGCUCGCAGGCUAGCUACAGAAACUGGAAUGGGCUAAUCUGGUCCAAAAUGGCAAG